rnacentral:pre_miRNA from 1 species
AAAAAGAUAAAUCCUGGUUUCCAUGUCUAACGUUUGAUCGUCCGUCUUAUUUAAAAAAAUAUAAAAAAAAUUAAAAAGAUAAGUCACGCAUAAAAUAUUAAUCAUGUUUUAUCAUCUAACAACAAUGAAAGUACGAAUUAUAAAAAAAAUUUAUAUAAGACGGACAGUUAAAGUUGGACACGGAAACCCAGGGUUUGUUUUUUU